GUGUGGAGAGAAGAAAAAACAAGGAACAACAGAAACAGAAUUCUGGAGAGGGCCCAUGAUGUAGACCAGGAAGGUGCAGCCAGAGGGAAGGAGCCAAUGGAGUUAUGCUGUGCUGAGAAAGGCCAGAUAAAGUAGCAUUUCAAGAUGGAGAGACAUAUGCUGCUAAGCAAGGAGGCCUUCUGGGUACUUGGAGGGAGCAGUUUCAGGAAAGGGGUGAAGACCAUGGCCACACUACUGUGGACUGGGGAGAAAGUAGGGGCGAGGAAGAAAAGACAAAAUACUUUCCAGGGAACAGCUGGAGAUAGGGCAAGUCUUCGCAGGGCCGGAGGAGUCUCACAGAGCAAAGUGCAGAGGCAUCAACGAGGGGAUCUUUUUGGCACACUGGAGUUUGUGCAAAAGGAAUGUUAAGAAUCAUGCUGAUAUGCAUUGGGGUCAGCAAGCGGAAGACUUUGAACACAAGGAUGAGGAAGUUUGAUUUCUUUGGAGAUCCCUGAAGGCUUUUGAGCAGAGGCACAACCCAAUUACGGAAUUCCAGCCUGUCAUGCCUGAAGUUGACCUCACCCUUGACAAUCAAUAAUGACAUUAGUUCAUCCUUCAUUCUCCACACACUCUACUCCUUGCUCUUGACCAACUCCGGGUGGAAACAUGCAGAGACUCACUUCACAAUUCCCAUCUGACUUGUCUCCUGAGCUUCCAAAGGCUCCCUUUCAACCCCAAGGAAAAUUGCAUGGCCCACGGCUUCUGUGUUCCCAGCAACAUUUUUGCUCUUGUGUUUUGCCUAUCCUGGUGCUCCCACUGGAAUACCUGCCCUUCUCUUUGCUUAUCUCUGCUUUCCCAGGUGGACAGCCAACAAUUAUUAUAGGCUGAAGACUAUAAGCCUUUGUGAAGCUUGCCCCUUCUCCAAGGCCCAUCACCUAUUCCAGAACCUCUCCCACGACUAUGCCUCAGCCAGCUCCCCCUGCAAGGCCAGUGAAGUGUCAACUCUGUAUUACAGAUGAUUUGGAUCACAUAUGGCAUUUGCCCAGCAGGUUAGAACUUGGUCCUCUUCUACCUGUUUUUGCUGCUUCCAGUUCAUCUCAUGCAGGUGAGCUGUGCCAGUCAAGGGACGCUGAGCUCUAUGGGAGCAAUCACUCCACUUUGAGACCUCAGGGGCUUCACAUGGCACAAGCUGAUUUCUUGCUCAUGCUGUAUGUCCACCAUGGAUUGGUGGGAGGUCCUUCUCCUUGAGGACCUGGGCUGAUGGUGACCUGGCAUCUUGUAGCUUCACCAUCUGGAAUGGUGUUGUCCGAGAGAAUUUUCUGCCGUGAUGGAAUGUCUUAUAUGUGCUGUGCAAUGCAACCUCUACUAGCCACAUGUGGCUAUCAAGGACUUGAAACAUGCUAGUGUGACUGAGAAACAGAAUUUUGAAUUUCAUUGAAUUUUAACGAAUUUCAAUAGCCAUAUGCGGCUAUGGCUACCACACUUGGCAGUGCAGCUCCGUACCACGAAGUCUCUAUAUCCAUCUCCCAGGUGCCAGCAGAAGAGAGCACGUGGAGAAACUUGCCUACUUUUCUGUGCUCAGCCAAGAAGUCAUCACUGGUCAGACUGGACAGAGCAGGGACCCCACCUAACUGCCAGGAAGCUGGAGAGUGUGCGGGACCCACGAAUACUUAGAGAGCAAGAAAUAACUUCCCCACCGAGCUCUUCUCAAACCUUCCUGGGGCUAAGAGGCAUAGACUUGGAGCCACAGAUUCAGAAGGGCUGCGUGGAGAGAAAGAACAAGGAUGGACUGAGACGGAGUGGAGAGAUUGUACCUUUGAGAUGCCGAGAUGGGCCCAGAGAGGACGAAGAGUAUAAUCACCGGCCACACAGACUGGCUGAGCCUAGAGUCCUGAGGUCCUGGCUCAGAGAUGAGAGAAUGGGGAAGGCAGGAUACUCUAGCGUGCCUGAGGGAACAAGGGACACUGGCUGGACACAUCUAGCCUUUCAUUCUGGGUCCCUGGGAAGGGAAGAGCUUACUAGCUGCCAGAGGCCUGUUCUCAGAGCCCUUGGAAGGGAAGGGCCCCACAAGGCUUUCAGUUUUCAAAUGGCUUUGGCUCAUCGCCCCCCUGAGCUUCACCGGCUGGAGUGGGUUUGAGGGAGCCGAAGUGGAGCACAGCAGCACAAGAGGAGACUAUUUCGGAGUCCAGGUGACUGAAGGAGGACCCGGGCGGUGUCAGUUUGAUGGAGAGAAGUGGAUGGAUCUGAGGACACGUCGGAAAGAGCCUUGCCCUGACUUCCUGCAGCAUUGGGUGUGGGGGUGAGGGGCUGGGGGUGCUCUAAGUUUGGGGCCUGGAGAAGCAGGGUAGUUGGAGGGGCCACCCGCUGGGACUGGAACAAGGCCUCCUUCCCUAACCCAUCCCGACUGCCUCACCCCGUGACUUCAGCAAGUGAGUAACAUGUGCUGUGGCCUCUCCCUGCUCCCUUCCUCGCAGAGCAGAUGGCGAGGGAAGGAAGAAGGCCAAGCCUCUGCGGCUGUGACUGUACUUUCCACUUUUAGCUCAGCACUUGGGAGCCCAUGGCCUUGCCAUUCCUUGCCUCCCACUCCUGGUUGUCUUAGCUCUGCUCCAAAUCAAAUCCAGCCCCAUAUUGUUUACUGAGCACCUGCUGUGGCCCUGCUGUGUGAAGGCCACCAUGGGAGAUGCCGGAGGAGCACGCGUGGUCCCACCUUGGUGACGUGAGGAGAGCUGGGGUGGCGGGAGGGGCCAAGCAGCCGGGGAGCAUGGUGGAAAGAGAGUCCUAGAAAGCUGUGGGCACUUUCUGAGGUCCAACCAUGGGAGCUGGAGGCAGAGUUAGCAGCUCUGAUUAACUCCUGAGGCAGCGAAGGUCCAGCUCUACCUCCCCAACACACACAAGCAUGCAUGCACACACACGUGUGCAUGAGUGUGCACGGCUCCUGACCUCCACCCUCAGCCUUCCUAUCUCCUUCCUCCCUGACGGGGUGGAAAGAAGAAGACUGAGCACUCACCUGUCCACUUCCCUGCCUUACCAUCCCAGACUGCUUCCAGAUAAGAGGCCUCCUAAGACAGCUAUUGCUGGUCCUCUAUUCUGAACUUCCCCACAGAGCAAGUCAACUUGUGUGUCUCUAGAAUGUUCCAGUGGUUCUCAAGGCAUGGACCCCAGACCAAUAGCAUCCACAUCAUCUAGGAACUUGAUGGAAAUGCACAUUCUUGGGGUACCUGGGUGGCUCAGUGGGUUAAGUGUCUGAUUCUUGAUUUCAGCUUAGGUCCUAAUCUCAGGGAGGUGAAAUCGAGCCUUGUGUUGGACCCUGUGCUGGGAAUGGAGCCUGAAUAAAAUUCUCUCUCUCUUUCUCCCUCUGCCCACAGCCCGCCCCCCCCCCACAUUAGUUCUCUCUCUCUCUGAAAGAAAGAAAGAAGAAAGCAAGAAAGCAAGAAAGAAAGAAAAAUGCACAUUUCUUAGGCCCCAUCCCAGACUUACUGAAUCAGUAGCUCUGGGGGUGGGCCUUCAGAAUCUCUGUUUUCAAGAGCAACAUCUCCCUGGCCCCUCCACCAGGGGAUUCAGGCACACACUCUGGUUGUAGAGCCUCGGCUAUCCUGGGACAAAACUUCCCCCCAGAAAAGGGAGACAUUUCUCUUCUGCUGCUCUCCCUGAGAGAGGAUGCACCAGUGGUUCCUUCAGGGCUGAACCCUGCCUCCCCCCAGAAGUCUUUUCCGUCCAUAUGGACUCGAGCUCUUCAGGUUUAUCGCCGCUCCCAUCAUCCCCUGGGUCUGUGGGAGUGAAGGCCAGGUGGCUGCAUCUGCCGCUGUGUCACCCGCCCUCUCAACCCCCAGCCCGGCCUGCCAUAUCCACACGGUGUCCUCAGAGGAGCCAGUAUCAUCCAUGGAGAACAUCAGGGCAGCAGAAUAAAUGGGUUGGUUUGUGAAAAGGGAAGGGCAAUAUCUCAAUUCAGUUCACCGGGCUCCCAUUUCUGCCCUAGAACCUUGUCCCUAGCAGUGGAGGGAAGCAACACGAAGCCAUUGGUGUUGCAGGUGAGCGAUGAAAGGCUGGUGUGCCCUGCAGACAGAAUCAGUUGUCAGCUGGCUGCCUCUGGGGAGGGCAUGGCUUUGCUGCCCUAAGGAGCUGAUAUGACAACGUUCUAUUUAACCAGGGGUCCCUGUUGUCUCUAAAACUCCAGGCAAGAGCCAUCCACCAAACAGACCCUCCUUCAAGGAUUCCUGCUUCACAGGGCCCUUGGAAGAGCUUGUGGGAGGGACAGAGUGGGGUGCAGGGUUACUUCCUGCCAGUGGGGCCCCUCCUGCCUUGUGAGCAUUUGGCCAAAUAUCAAAUUUUUUCGUGGCAGUUUUUUCAUUGCCUUUUAUCAUUUUCUGGUUUUAGUCUCCCAUGAGUUGUAAAGCUAUGUGUGCUUAAACUGUACAUACUGGGUGGGAGUGGGGUGUUUGGCGCUAGACUGGGCAGGGCCAGAAGAAGGGAGGCACCAUGCAACCCUUUCAGAGGAGCAGACACU